rnacentral:rRNA from 1 species
UACGGAGGGGGCUAGCGUUGUUCGGAAUUACUGGGCGUAAAGCGCACGUAGGCGGCAUCGCAAGUCCCAUGUGAAAGCCCACGGCUUAACCGUGGAAGUGCAUGGGAAACUGCAGUGCUUGAGUACUUAAGAGGAUCGCGGAAUUCCCGGUGUAGAGGUGAAAUUCGUAGAUAUCGGGAGGAACACCAGUGGCGAAGGCGGCGAUCUGGGAAGAUACUGACGCUGAGGUGCGAAAGCGUGGGGAGCAAACAGG